ACACGGACGAGCUCUGGGGCCUGGCGACGCAUCCGUCCCGGAGCCGAUUCCUGACGUGCGGCCACGACCGGCAGCUCUGCGUGUGGGACAGCCAGGAGCACGCGCUGGCCUGGAGCCUCCCGCUGGAGGACAUCGGCCUCUGCGCCGACUUCCAUCCCGGUGGACACGCGGUGGCCGUGGGGCUGCAGACGGGAAGGUGGCUGGUGCUGGACGCGGAUUCCCAGCAGGUGCUGGCGGCCGGAUCCGACGGGAACGAGCAGCUCUCCGUGGUGCGCUACUCGCC